rnacentral:rRNA from 1 species
GACGAACGCUGGCGGCGCGCUUAACACAUGCAAGUCGAACGGAAAGGCCUGCUUUCCCUUGUGGAUUGCGGGUACUCGAGUGGCGAACGGGUGAGUAACACGUGAGUGAUCUGCCCCCAACUUGGGUAUAAGCCUGGGAAACUGGGUCUAAUUCCCGAUAGGACUGCAGGGUGGUGCCUGUGGUGGAAAACGAUUUUCUAGUGGUUGGGGAUGAGCUCGCGGCCUAUCAGCUUGUUGGUGGGGUAAUGGCCUACCAAGGCGGCGACGGGUAGCCGGCCUGAGAGGGUGGACGGCCACAUUGGGACUGAGAUACGGCCCAGACUCCUACGGGAGGCAGCAGUGGGGAAUAGUGCACAAUGGGCGGAAGCCUGAUGCAGCGACGCCGCGUGGGGGAUGACGGCCUUCGGGUGGUAAACUCCUUUCGACCGCGAGGAAGCCACCUGGUUGGAAGGGUGGUGACGGUAGUGGUAGAAGAAGCACCGGCUAACUACGUG